rnacentral:rRNA from 1 species
UGGCGAACGGGUGAGUAAUAUAUUGGAACGUACCGAGUAAUGGGGGAUAACCAAUCGAAAGAUUGGCUAAUACCGCAUACGCUCUGAGGAGGAAAGCAGGGGACCUUCGGGCCUUGCGUUAUUCGAGCGGCCAAUAUCUGAUUAGCUAGUUGGUGGGGUAAAGGCCUACUAAGGCGACGAUCAGUAGCGGGUCUGAGAGGAUGAUCCGCCACACUGGGACUGAGACACGGCCCAG